UAUAUAAAAAUGUUUAGGGAUAUGGCUCAGUGGUUUAGGGAUGUGGCUCAGUUCAAUCCCUAGAACGCCCCCAAAAAUACCUUUGAUAAUGUCUCAACAGAUAUCCCUGCCAAUGCCCACCUGCUCCCUGUCCCUGCACAAGACCACAGACAGGUACACUCUCUUUCCCCAAGCAAUUCCCUCUUGCCUUCUUCACCACCACCAGUGACAGACAGCCCUGCUCUGGCACCAGCCCUGUCCCCUAACUCCUGAAUGGUUCCAAGCAGCAUCUGGUAGGUUGCCCUGCCGUCCAUCUGUCUGCUCCACUGUCUAGUUGUGCCAGGGUGGUGGGCAAGGUUGCCCAGAGACCAAAGAAAAUGCCCAGCGACAGCGUAGAGGUCAUUAGGCUGAUUUGAGAAACCAUUAUGGGGACGGUCCAGGGGCCCCAGGCUGGCAGCUCCCUGGUGCCCACCCUGCUCCCCCAACCACAGCGCUUCUUCCUCCUGGUUUUUGGGCCAGUGGUGGCUGCUGGUGAGUGACACAGAUCCUUUCCACCGUGCCCUCAGUCUGCACCUCUUGACAUCCAGAGAGAGGUUAAUAUGCCAGGCUCCCUCCGAAGCAGUGGCACCAUCGGCGUUAGCCGGCUUGAUUUGCAGGAACAGCACCCCAAGGGGCAGUGCCAGGCUCAUGUGCAGACAGCCACUUGCUGCAGGUCACAGGGCUGCCCCUCAUUCCCCGGAGAGAAAGCCAGUGUCCCUGCGAUAGUGUGCAGCUGGUCAUCCUGGCCUGGGGGGCUCUCAAGGGUCCCUUCACUCAUUUAGGAUUUGGGGGACAAGAGGGGACAUUCAGGGACAUGGUGUCCUUCUGCCCCCUUUGCUUUAGGAAUGACACACCUCUUUUACAAGGUUGCUUUGAUGUCACUGGUCGGAUAGGACAAUAAGCAAACACCACAAGCACCAAACACACCAUAGAAGGAAAACACCACACGCACACGCACACACGCACACACACACGCACACAUGCACACACGUGCGCGAAUACAUGCACACACAUAUACGCACACACACUCACAUGCACACACGCACACACAAGCACACACAGAGGCCAGCUCCGCCUGGCUGGAGCAUUUCUCCUACAGUCAUGUUUACCUGGUGGCAUCCCAGCGUCCCUGCCUUACAGACAACCCUGGCCUCAAUUUGAAUCACAAUAAGUUGAGUGAUUUCUUUAAAAAACAAAACAAAACAAUCUAAUAUGAGGCACCCACCACCUCCUGGAGCCAGUACUCAGGGGACCUUACCUGCCUGCAGUUAAGGCUUCGUCUUUGUCUGUGGACACUGUGUCACUUCCUGAGUCACAGCGGGUGGGCAGUGGGAAGGCAGAGCCAGGUCUCA
rnacentral:lncRNA from 1 species